rnacentral:lncRNA from 1 species
CCUAGCACAGCUUCUGGCACACAGUAGGUAUCUGUAAAUGCUUGCUCUCACCCUUUCCCUUCAUCUUGCUUUCUGUUUCUCUGCUAUCCAGCUUCUUCUGUAUUUGACACAAUUCAAGUCAGUAAAUAUUUAUUGAGCCAUAAAUACCUGUGCCAGGCCAGAGUUUAGCUGAGGAGUCUAUGUGGACCCCAUCCAAGGGUCCAGCCCUGGGAGCCCUGUGGGGUCUGGUUCAGCAGAUAUUCCCUGGGCCCUGUGUUUGAGGCUCCGGGGUAGGAGAGAGCUUCUCCCUGAGGUCCUCAAGGAGCAUAUUCUCAGAAAUGGCUAACAAGAGGCCACAUGAUGCAGACCCGGGGAGAAGUAUCAUGAGGUCAGAUAGUGGCCAGAGAAAGAGUAUGGGACUGGUGGGCCCAUCACUGAUCUCCUCGGCAGCUGGGGCAGAUCUUCUGCCCUGGGUCUCAUUUCCUCAGCCAUAAAAUGAGAGGAUGGAGUCACCUAACAGAUAGCAAGGACUUAGGUAAAGCUUCCUAUGGGCCGCGUUUUGUUUGAAUUAUUCAUUUAUUUAUUUAUGGUGCUGGGGAUCCAACCCAGAUGAAUAAUUUUAAUCCUCACAACAGGAACGCAUCCCUUUGAGAUGGUGCUUUCUCUAUCAGCAUCUCAUAGAUUUAGAAAAUGAGACACAGUUUAUAUUAAUUACCCAAGCAAAUGUCUAAGGGAUUCAUGCUGAGGCAGAGCAGGAUCCACAGCUUCUAACCACUAUGCUACACUGUCCCUCUGGAUCUGAACGAUACUCUGUAACAAUACUGCCCAGUAGUAUUUUUUUAGAUGUUAUUGUAUUUUUUAAUGCCUUUAUUUAAUUAAUUUAUUUGUUUUUAUGUGGUGAUUGAACCCAGUGUCUCACUCAUGCCAGGCAAGUACUCUAUUACUGAGCUAUAACUGCAAUCUCCAAUAGUAUUUUCUUGUGCAGUACAGGGAAUCAAACUCAGGGAUGAUCUACCAGUGAGCUAUGUCCCCAGCUCUUUUAAUUUUUUAAAAAUUUUAUUUAGGUCUCACUAAGAUGUCAAGGCAGAGGAGUCAGGCAUGGUAGAGCACGCUUGUAAUCUCAGUGGCUCAGGAAGCUGAGGCAGGAGGAUUGCAAGUUUGAGGCCAGCCUCAGCAAUUUAGCAAGGCCCUAAGCAACUUAGUGAGACACUGCCUCAAAAUAAAACAUAACGGCUAGGAUCGUGGUUCAGUGGCAGAGCACUUGUCUAGCAUAUGUGAGGCACUGGGUUCGAUUCUCAGCACCGUGUAUCCAUAAAUAAAAUAAAGGUCCAUUGACAACUAAAAAAUAUAUUUAAAAAAAUAAAACAUAAAUAGGACUGGGGAGGUGGCUCAGUGAUUAAGCACCCCUGGGUUCAAUCCCUGGUAUAUAAAAAAGUCAAGGCUGGCCUUGAAUUUGCGAUCCUCCUGCCUCAGCCUCCUGAGUUGCUGGGAUUAUAGGCAGCCAUGUGCUGCCACUCCUGGCUCCAAAACUAUUUUCUGCAGUCAUGAAAAUGUCCUGCAACUUUUACUGUCCAGUAUUGCGAACUUUAGUCACAUGUGGCUAUGGAUCCCUUGAAGUGUGUCUAAUACAACCAAGGGUCAGAAUCUUUGGUUGGGUUCUGAUCUUGAACUGGGGAUUGAACCCAGGGGUGUUUUACCACUGAGCUACAUCCCCAGACCUUUGAAUUUUUUAUUUUGACACAGGGUCUCACUAAAUUGCUGAGGCUGUCCUUGAACUUGUGACCCUCCUGCUUCAGGCUCCCAAGUGGCUGUGAUUACAGGCGUGCACCACUGAGCCCAGCAAGGCACUGAAUCUUUAGCUGUAUAUCGUUUCAGUUAAUUUAGACAGGCACAUGUGACUAAUGGGACCAUGUUAGGCAGCACAGCUCUAAAAUUCUAAAGGAGCCAAUAUAGUCACACAGUAUAGUCACACAUGCAUAGAGAGGGUGGGACUUCUCUGAGUUAAGAGGCUUUGGGGCCAAAGGAUGGAGGAGGGCAUCUGUCUACCCCAGUCCCCGGGUCUCCUCUGCCUGCUCCGUCCCCGCACUCCAUCUCCCUUCCCCUGUCCUACUCAGCGCUGAAGAUCCACCUGUCUUCUGAGACCAAGGCUGUCCUGGAGGAGUUUGAUGGUUUUGAGCUGGAGCUUCGAGGGGAUGUGGAAAUGAAGGUAGAGAAAGAAGUCCCUGCCAUCACGGUCCCUGGGGUCCUGGAGCGGGGGUACCCUUCUCCAGCAGCCAAUGCCACUCCCAUUUCUAGGCCUCCUAUCUGAUUUGGGACAGUAGUUGUGCCGCUCCCCACCCCAACCUUUUAUUUUUUAUUUUUUUUCCUCCAGGGCAAAGGCAAGGUCCGGACCUACUGGCUCCUGGGGGAGCGGGGGAGUAGCACCAGAGGCUGACCGGCCCCCCUUGCUGUCCUUCCAUACCUCCGAUGCCUGGUCUCCACCUCUCCCCAGCAGCCCCACCACUGCAGAAGGAUGAGAGAGCCGUGGUUGGAACAGCUCAGGCCCCCAGACCCCAGUAGAGACCCCGGGUGUGACUCUGAGAGACGACUGGCAUAGGGAAGAACCCAGAGCUCACAGGACCGACCUAAUCACACACUCACACAAAAUGGCACCGGUGUAGGCACAUGUCCCCUCCGCCUCCCCUAACGGGCUCCUCCUCCCUCGGCCUUGCUACACUGUGACUUUUAUUAAAAUUACCAUAGGGGAUAUGAAAAGGGACUCUAGUGAAAGGAGGGGGUAGAAGGUCCAGAUGUGGGCCUGAGCCACAGGGAUCACAAAUACCAUCCCACCCAUAGCCACCACCCACCCCUCCACUCAACAGUGGGCACAAUGCACAGGUGUGAAGAGGGGCCAUGGGGAGAGGCUGUGGUCCUGUGCGCCUUGUUCUCCUGUGAACAGACCAUUAAAACCUUUAUUCCAGUGACAGUGUCUCUUCUUAAGGGAGAGAGCAUUGCCAGAAAACAUAGCCAUGUUCUCUACCUUCUGCUUCGAAAAGACUAGUUUCUCCAACUGGGAAUGUAGAUUCUGAAAAAGCCGGCAGUCACCUGCAGCUUUGAGGAGACCACGGAACCCUCUGUGAAUUUUGCAGAAGUGCAGAACCUUUGUUUAUGUGGGUUAUACUUAUUGAUAUCGGUCGUAUUAGACAUAAAAAUAACCACAGCGAAGAAAGUGAAAUGAAUGCUUAUUGAUUGAGUCAUUCAGGAUAACAAUAAUAAACGCAUUAUAUGUUAAUAAUUUUUUACUACUUUAUU